AGACGGGUGAGUAACACGUAGACAAUCUACCUUCUAGAGGGGGAUAGCCCGCCGAAAGGCGGGGUAAUACCGCGUAAGAUCAAGUCUCGGCAUCGGGAUCUGAUGGAACGUCCGCAAGGACGGCUAGAAGAGGAGUCUGCGGCCUAUCAGCUAGUUGGCGGGGUAAUGGCCCACCAAGGCAACGACGGGUAACCGGCCUGAAAGGGUGAUCGGACACACUGACACUGAGACACGGGUCAGACUCCUACGGGAGGCAGCAGUGAGGAAUUUUGGACAAUGGGGGAAACCCUGAUCCAGCGACGCCGCGUGAAGGAUGAAGGUCUUCGGAUCGUAAACUUCUUUUGCCUGGGACUAACCGCCUCAUAGAAAUAUGAGGAAUGAAUGUACCAUGCGAAUAAGCCACGGCUAACUUCGUGCCAGCAGCCGCGGUAAUACGAAGGUGGCAAGCGUUACUCGGAAUUACUAGGCGUAAAGGGCAGGUAGGUGGUUUGGUUAGUCUGUUGUGAAAGCUCCUUGCUUAACGGGGAGAGGUCAACAGAUACUGCCAGACUUGAGUAUAGGAGAGGGUACUGGAAUUCCCGGUGUAGCGGUGAAAUGCGCAGAGAUCGGGAGGAACACCAAUGGCGAAAGCAGGUACCUGGACUAUUACUGACACUCAGCUGCGAAAGCUAGGGGAGCAAACAGGAUUAGAUACCCUGGUAGUCCUAGCCGUAAACGAUGCACAUUAGGCGUGAGGGGUAUCGACCCCCCUCGUGCCG
rnacentral:rRNA from 1 species